rnacentral:rRNA from 1 species
AGAGUUUGAUCCUGGCUCAGAGCGAACGCUGGCGGCGUGCUUAACACAUGCAAGUCGAACGCGCAGCAUUCUGUAGCAAUACAGGGUGUGGGCGCGUGGCGAACGGGUGCGUAACACGUGGAUAACCUUCCUUCAGGUGGGGAAUAACCCAGUGAAAAUUGGGCUAAUACCGCAUAACAUGACGAUGAGACAUCUUGUUGUCAUCAAAGGCGCAAGUCGCCGGAAGAGGGAUCCGCGGCCGAUUAGCUUGUUGGCGAGGUAAUGGCUCACCAAGGCAAUGAUCGGUAGCCGGACUGAGAGGUUGGCCGGCCACACUGGAACUGAGACACGGUCCAGACUCCUACGGGAGGCAGCAGUGGGGAAUCUUGCGCAAUGGGCGAAAGCCUGACGCAGCAACGCCGCGUGGGGGAUGAAGCUUCUCGGAGUGUAAACCCCUUUCGACCCGGACGAAUGCCCGCAAGGGCUUGACGGUACGGGUAUAAGAAGCCCCGGCUAACUACGUGCCAGCAGCCGCGGUAAAACGUAGGGGGCCAGCGUUGCUCGGAAUUACUGGGCGUAAAGGGUCCGUAGGCGGUGUGGCAAGUCGGUAGUGAAAUCUCUGGGCUUAACUCAGAGGCUGCUGCCGAAACUGCUGUGCUAGAGUGUGAGAGAGGCGAGUGGAAUUACGGGUGUAGCGGUGAAAUGCGUAGAUAUCCGUAGGAACAUCCGAGGCGAAAGCGGCUCGCUGGAUCACAACUGACGCUGAGGGACGAAAGCUAGGGGAGCAAACAGGAUUAGAUACCCUGGUAGUCCUAGCCCUAAACCAUCAGGACUUGGGGUUUGCCCUGUACGGGGCGAGUCCCGGAGCUAACGCGUUAAGUCCUGCGCCUGGGGAGUACGGUCGCAAGGCUGAAACUCAAAGGAAUUGACGGGGGCCCGCACAAGCGGUGGAACAUGUGGUUCAAUUCGACGCAACGCGAAGAACCUUACCUGGGCUUGAACCGCACAGGACCAUUCCUAGAAAUAGGGACUUCCCGCAAGGG